rnacentral:rRNA from 1 species
GACGAACGCUGGCGGCGUGCUUAACACAUGCAAGUCGAACGGUGAAGGGACCGGUUUUUGCUGGUUCUGGAUGAGUGGCGGACGGGUGAGUAACACGUGAGUAACCUGCCCCCUUCUUCUGGAUAACCGCAUGAAAGUGUGGCUAAUACGGGAUAUUCUGCGCCUGCUGCAUGGUGGGUGUGGGAAAGAUAUUGUUUCGGUGGGGGAUGGGCUCGCGGCCUAUCAGCUUGUUGGUGGGGUGAUGGCCUACCAAGGCGGUGACGGGUAGCCGGCCUGAGAGGGUGGACGGUCACACUGGGACUGAGACACGGCCCAGACUCCUACGGGAGGCAGCAGUGGGGAAUAUUGCACAAUGGGCGCAAGCCUGAUGCAGCGACGCCGCGUGAGGGAUGGAGGCCUUCGGGUUGUAAACCUCUUUCGCCAGUGAAGCAGGCCUGUCCCUUUUGUGGGUGGGUUGACGGUAGCUGGAUAAGAAGCGCCGGCUAACUACGUG